AGCGAGAAGAGAACAGGUUACGGCCACAGAGAGGAAAGUGAAGGAAUGACUGCAGUAAAGUGAAGCUUCUUUGGAUUUUUCUACUUGCUAUCCCACUGCAGUUGAAGCUCAGCGGUGCUCAAAGGCCACCUAGAGGACUCGUUGAGAAACUGCACAACACCAAAUACUGCAGUACCCCCUCCUCUUCAAGCUUUCUCCCCGACUGAGGUUUGAUUCGGGAGGACAAGAAGUGUAGUGUUUAAGUGCGCACUACUGUGAAAUCCUCAUGGGUUGUCUAGGUGUGCAGCCAACUGCCUGUUCAGCGAUAUUUCUGGCUCUCCCUGGCCUUCCCUUUUUACUUGCAGCUUUUUUUUUUUAUGAACCCAAUUCUGUUGGGUUCCACAGAAGAAAAAACAUCAUAUAUGUUAAAAAAUUCAUGAGAGCACAAAAUGUUUAUUUUUCAUAAUCAAACCCUAACCCUAUAAUAAUUAUUGUUUUUUAAAUAUUAUUAAGGACUUAAAAGGUAAAAUAGGCUGUAACAAAGACAGUAUGACAUAAAGUGCUGAGUAAACUAUCCCCUUAGGGAAAAAUAAUAUAUACACACAUACACCCAGAAAUAGGCGCAUGUUCCAGAUCAAUAAAUCAAUCAUGUUUCCACCAAUCACUUCAAACAUGCUUUUGUUCUCCAUUUAUUUCUGAGUGACAAAAGGAAAGAAUGGAAAUUAAGCCAUAUUGAUGAAACCAUUUUUUGAAGUUCAGAUCAAUUAUAGCAGAACUGAAAAUAAAAGCACCAACACUAGUUUGUCUAUGUUCUUAUACCACUGACAUCUUAUU